AUUGAACGCUGGCGGCAGGCCUAACACAUGCAAGUCGAACGAGUGGCGGACGGGUGAGUAAUGUCUGGGAAACUGCCCGAUGGAGGGGGAUAACUACUGGAAACGGUAGCUAAUACCGCAUACCAUCGGAUGUGCCCCGAUGGGAUUCGCUAGUAGGUGGGGUAACGGCUCACCUAGGCGACCAUCCCUAGCUGGUCUGAGAGGAUGACCAGCCACACUGGAACUGAGACACGGUCCAGACUCCUACGGGAGGCAUCAGUGGGGAAUAUUGCACAAUGGGCGCAAGCCUGAUGCAGCCAUGCAGCGUGUAUGAAGAAGGCCUGCGGGUUGUAAAGUACUUUCAGCGAGGAGGCGUUACUCGCAGAAGAAGCACCGGCUAACUCCGUGCCAGCAGCCGCGGUAAUAC
rnacentral:rRNA from 1 species